AACUGUUUUAAGUGCAAAGGCUG
rnacentral:siRNA from 1 species